rnacentral:lncRNA from 1 species
ACAAUCAUAAAAAAGGACUAAGGAUUUCCACUUAUGGAUUCAGGUACGCUUCCGCUUAUGUUAUUAUUUCAAAUAAUUCGAUAUAAAGGCUAUUAUGUUUUAGUGGAUAUUAUAAUCCUAACAAUUCCAACUCUUGAUUCUCAGAUAGUCCUGUAGUAUAUUCUUAAUUUUCUCAGAGUAGUAAAUCCAACUCUUGUUUCAAUUAGCACAUGAUACGUGCACAAACUCCAAACUAAUUUGGACUUUGCUGGAAGUAGCGGCAAUUAUUGAAGUCCAUUAGGUUUUCAUGUGCUCGUCAGCAGAGGCGUAUCUAAUGAAUAAGUUACGGGUUCAUAUGACUGUAGUAGCUUUGAUUUAGGUCUUAUAUUUGGUAAAAUAUUUACUAACUAAACUCAAACAGUAGAUUUUGAAACCCAUAAAGUUAGAUGGGAUGCAGUAAAUUUCGAAUUUUAAUUCAUAAAAUUCAAAUUGUGAAUCUGCUGGUCGUGACUGGUAAGAUCUUUUUUUUUGGGAACUUCUCUUUGGUUGUCCACUUCGGGGAUCAUGUCGGGUUGGUGUUCGGUAGGGCCAGAAAUUUUGGCUGUAACGAAAUUAAAGUUCAACACGAGUUGUACUCCUUCUUUUCCCAAUUCAAAGUUUGUUACUCUCGUGUCUAAGUUUAGUGGCCAGGACUUGUCAUAAAAGAGUUUACCAUACGCAUAUUCGUUCUAACAUACAGACAAAAUUUGUCCAGAUGCCGACUUUUAGUUUCAUUUCACAUGGCUCUUAUGCACAAACUUAACUCCUCAACUACAUUACUUGAAGAUCCGUGGAAGUUAAGCAUAAUGGGGUUUUCUUUUUUUGGCAACUGCUAUACCUUUUUUAUUUUUCAUUGGUUAUCCGUUAUUUGCAUUAAAGUCUCAAUUUAUUUAGAUUCACAUUAUAAAAAAUAUUAAAGGGGAAACACUUUCUAUCAAUAUUUUUUCCCUUCCAAGACUCGCAUAUCUCUCGUUAAAAAUUAAGAGUGAAGAAUCAUAUACAUUCUACGGUUAAGGGUCAAAAAUGCCUUCAACCUAUCGACUCUGGAACCAAAAUGCCCUCCGUUUACCUUUGGCGAAGAAAAUGCCCCCACCGUUUUCUUUUUGGCCUAUUUGUACCCCUGGAAUCUAACGGUUGUUUUUUUAAUUUUUAUAAUAUUUGUAAUUCCACAUGUCAUUUGGCCAUUGGACAUUAAAUAUAAGUGACCCAAAUGAAUUUUUACCCCAAGUCCGACCCAACCCGUUAUUUCUAAUUCCACAUGUCAUUUAGCGAUUGGACAUUAAAUAUAAGUGACCCAAAUGAAUUUUUACCCCCAGUCUGACCCAACCAGACCCGCCUAAACCGACCCGACCCUAUAGACUUGCUUUUUAACCCCCCAAACCCACUAACCUUCUUCAUUUUCACCGCCUCAUGUUCUCUAACCAACAAUGGCGAUUCUGUAGGGUUUGCUGGAGCUGAUUUUGGAGGUCAACAUUCUGUGAUAUCACUUCGAGCAGGGGUUUUCUUCUCUUGAGGGUCUUCAAGCUUCAUAUGAAGUUUUCUCAAAAAGAAAACGGUGGGGGCAUUUUCUUCGCCAAAGGUAAACAGAGGGCAUUUUUGUUCCAGAGUCAAUAGGUUGAGGGCAUUUUUGACCCUUAACCGUACAUUCUAUUGCAAUCGUUAACUGUAAUAACUGCUAUACAGUUUCAACGCUUCUCAUAACUAUUAUUUUGAGAUUUUUUGAGAAAACUUCAUAUGAGAAUUUAAACCUUACACCUGUACCACGUAAAGUUGUUCUUCCAGAAUUCUCCUUAUAUCUCUAGGCUCGUCUACAUAUUACCAUCCCCAGACCCCAGUUUGUGGGACUAUACUGGGUAGUAAUAGUAGUAGUUGUUGUUGUUAUAUGUCAACCACAAAAAAGUUGGAGGAGUACUCUAGACUUGAAGUACCAUCACGAAUAAAGCCAGAAAGAAAAGCGGAUAUAACUAUUUUGGAAAAAAUUACUGGUUUUAUUAUGUGAAAAUAUCUUAUUAGUUUUUUCCAUUGGUAAUUGGAUAGUUUUUAAUGUCCCUCCUUUAUAGGAACUACAACGUAAUAAUUUUCACCUCUGUCAAUUUUAUAUGCGAGCGAGAUACUUAUUUUUUUGUAUAUUAGUAUGUGCAUUAGAUUUAGCAUAAAGUUUUCAAUACAAAUUUUCAAAAGCAAGCAAAUAUAAUUAUUUUUUGAAAAAUUACUGUUAAUUUCUAAUACUACUUUAUUGAAAUUGGGUUAAUUUUAUCACGUCCUAUCCUUGUAGAAUCUACCUAUUAUAACAGUGUUGAGUAUACUAUAUAUACCCUAGCUAGAGAUUUCAAGUUUUAUAUAUAUAUAUAUAUAAGCAUGUAAUCUUAGUUAGCCCAUCAUUAAUUAAGGUUACCCUUUUGGGUAUCUACACAUUAGUCCUACACUU